rnacentral:rRNA from 1 species
AGAGUGAACGCUGGCGGUAGGCCUAACACAUGCAAGUCGAACGGCAGCACAGUGGUAGCAAUACCAUGGGUGGCGAGUGGCGGACGGGUGAGGAAUACAUCGGAAUCUACCUUUUCGUGGGGGAUAACGUAGGGAAACUUACGCUAAUACCGCAUACGCCCUUCGGGGGAAAGCCGGGGAUCGCAAGACCUGGCGCGGAUAGAUGAGCCGAUGUCGGAUUAGCUAGUUGGUGUGGUAAUGGCUCACCAAGGCGACGAUCCGUAGCUGGUCUGAGAGGAUGAUCAGCCACACUGGAACUGAGACACGGUCCAGACUCCUACGGGAGGCAGCAGUGGGGAAUAUUGGACAAUGGGCGCAAGCCUGAUCCAGCCAUACCGCGUGGGUGAAGAAGGCCUUCGGGUUGUAAAGCCCUUUUUGUUGGAAAGAAAAGGCAAUCGGUUAAAUACCCGGUUAGUUCUGACGGUACCCAAAGAAUAAGCACCGGCUAACUUCGUGCCAGCAGCCG